GAUGAACGCUGACAGAAUGCUUAACACAUGCAAGUCUACUUGAAUUUGGGUUUUUUCACUUAGAUUUGGGUGGCGGACGGGUGAGUAACGCGUAAAGAACUUGCCUCACAGUUAGGGACAACAUUUGGAAACGAAUGCUAAUACCUGAUAUUAUGAAUAUAUGGCAUCAUAUAAUUAUGAAAGCUAUAAGCGCUGUGAGAGAGCUUUGCGUCCCAUUAGCUAGUUGGAGAGGUAACGGCUCACCAAGGCGAUGAUGGGUAGCCGGCCUGAGAGGGUGAACGGCCACAAGGGGACUGAGACACGGCCCUUACUCCUACGGGAGGCAGCAGUGGGGAAUAUGGGACAAUGGACCAAGAGUCUGAUCCAGCAAUUCUGUGUGCACGAUGACGUUUUUCGGAAUGUAAAGUGCUUUCAGUUGGGAAGAAAAAAAUGACGGUACCAACAGAAGAAGUGACGGCUAAAUACGUG
rnacentral:rRNA from 1 species